AUUGAACGCUGGCGGCAGGCUUAACACAUGCAAGUCGAGCGGGGGAAGGUAGCUUGCUACCGGACCUAGCGGCGGACGGGUGAGUAAUGCUUAGGAAUCUGCCUAUUAGUGGGGGACAACAUCUCGAAAGGGAUGCUAAUACCGCAUACGUCCUACGGGAGAAAGCAGGGGAUCUUCGGACCUUGCGCUAAUAGAUGAGCCUAAGUCGGAUGAGCUAGUUGGUGGGGUAAAGGCCAACCAAGGCGACGAUCGGUAGCGGGUCUGAGAGGAUGAUCCGCCACACUGGGACUGAGACACGGCCCAGACUCCUACGGGAGGCAGCAGUGGGGAAUAUUGGACAAUGGGGGGAACCCUGAUCCAGCCAUGCCGCGUGUGUGAAGAAGGCCUUAUGGUUGUAAAGCACUUUAAGCGAGGAGGAGGCUACUCUAGUUAAUACCUAGGGAUAGUGGACGUUACUCGCAGAAUAAGCACCGGCUAACUCUGUGCCAGCAGCCGCCGUAA
rnacentral:rRNA from 1 species